AUUGAACGCUGGCGGCAUGCCUUACACAUGCAAGUCGAACGGCAGCACGGGAGCAAUCCUGGUGGCGAGUGGCGAACGGGUGAGUAAUAUAUCGGAACGUGCCCAGUCGUGGGGAUAACGUAGCGAAAGCUACGCUAAUACCGCAUACGAUCUAUGGAUGAAAGCGGGGGAUCGCAAGACCUCGCGCGAUUGGAGCGGCCGAUAUCAGAUUAGGUAGUUGGUGAGGUAAAGGCUCACCAAGCCGACGAUCUGUAGCUGGUCUGAGAGGACGACCAGCCACACUGGGACUGAGACACGGCCCAGACUCCUACGGGAGGCAGCAGUGGGGAAUUUUUGGACAAUGGGCGCAAGCCUGAUCCAGCAAUGCCGCGUGCAGGAUGAAGGCCUUGGUGUAACUGCUUUUGUACGGU
rnacentral:rRNA from 1 species